AAGAAAAAGAGAAAGAAAUUAAAAAGUGGGUGGGAACCACCAAUAGUUUACAGAAAGGCAAUCAGACCAUAUUUUGGUCCCAUUAUCUUUUCCUCCCGCUGGUUCUUCUCUUCUCCUCUCAAGCUCUAUUUUUUUUUUCUUUUUCUUUUUAUAUCAAGACUUUGAAUCUAGAUCUCUCCUUCAAUACUUGAUAUUUUUGGAAGCCGUUUGCGCCAAAUUGAAGCCCACGACGAGAUCUACGAGUUGAUCGGAGCCAAUCUCCAUUUGGCUACCAUUUGAGGAGUCUCUAAAUCCUAGGGUUUGAGAUAAAAAUUGGGGCUUUUUAACCAAUUGGAGGACACGAAAAAGAAGUGACGAACGACCAUCCACCACAAGUUUAGACGAGAUUGGAAAUUUAUAUUUUGCUAUUUUUGUUUUACAAUUUUAAUAUUUUGUAAAUGUAAAUUUUGACUAUCCUGUAAAACUUUAGUAUAAUUUGUAUAAUAUAAUAAAUUAUGGACUUUCGAUUUCAGCUGCAUUUCAUGGACUGUAAAUUGAUGUAAUUAGAUUAUGUUCCUUGUAAAGGAGUAUGGGACUAAGUAGUGGACUAACACUUCCAUAUUUUUUUUUAUUGAAGGAAUUGGAGGGAAGGGACUCUGAAUAUAUGUAUACAGUUAUUUUGGGAAUUGAUAUAUUGUUUGCAUUGUGGGUUGGAGUUUAUGGCUAAGUGAGGCCAUUACAUUUUUUUUUUUAUGCAUUUCAACAGGUUGUGGUAGGAUCCUUUUUAGUAGAGGUCAUGCUGAAUUUUUUUUAGAAUUGGUAUCGUUUUAGGGUCUUGACAAUUAUAUACGAAUUAAAUAAAUAAUAGUUUACAAAUUUUAAAUUAAUUGAAAACUCCAUUAUUUUUUUUAGAGAAAAGUGCAAAAAACCCCCCUAUACUAUCGGGGUUUUGCAACUAACUCCCUUGAACUAACAAAGUUGCAUUUAACCCCCUUCAACUAACAAUAGGGUAUCGGAAAAGCCAAAGACAAUAUUAUCCUCAAUUAACCAUAGUAACCUUUCUUUGGCCCUCAUUUUUCUGCAGAGAGGGAGGGGAGAGAAAGAGAGAGUGAGAGAGCGAGUUGAGCAAGGAAUGACAGUGAGAUGAAACGGCAGGGGCUCAGAUCGGCGGUGAGCAAAGAUGGCGUCACACGCCGGUGUUCAAGGAUCGGCGGCGACGAACGGCGAUGUUCGAGGGUUAAUGGAAUGGUUUCGUCGGAGUACUAGUGAGAGAGAGAGGGAGGGUAUGGGUGACAGAGAGCUAGUGGCGGUGGACCUCGAAGUCUGUGCUGCGGUACACAGGAAUGAGGAGGAGCUUGACAACAGCGGUGGCAAGGGCGAACAUCUGCGGUAUACAUAUGAGAUCGGCGGUGGGUUAUGAUUUGGGUAUGGGUUGUGAUUUGGGCUGGCUUUUUUGAUCCUUUCAUGGUUUGAUCGAUGGGUAUAAAGAAGAAAAUUUGUGUAGUUGAGGAAGGAUCAAGUUUAGGGAUUGAGAUUCAACUAAAAAAAAAGUUUAGGGAUUAAGAUGGGGAGAGAGAGAAGUGAAAAAGGCCAAAGAAGAAAAAAGACGACAACUCCAAUUCUGAUUUUUUCCUCCGGAAAGUCCAAUUCUCUGCCAAUCUCCUCAAUCUCACGUAUGAGUGGUUCCAUUGAAGUGGCUCUCAAUUCCAAUCCUUGGCAGUUCUCAUCGAAGCUAAUGGCUCUGUCUGAAAAAUCCAGAAUAGCUCCUAGUGAUUCACCAGCUACUGCUCCCAAAACAGCCCCUGCAAUGAGAUCCGCCAUCUAUAUUAUGGUUUUCUUUUAUCUGCACAGAAAGAAAACCCUAAUUCACUGAAAAUCAAGAGGGAAUUAAAUUAGGUUUCUGAAUAUUCAACAAGAAUUGAAAACGGGUUUUUGAAAAUCAAAAGGAAUUGAAUUGGGUUUCUGAUCUUCCAGAGAAACUAAAGGUAGCAUGGAUGGAACUGAUGGUAGUUCACGGUGGCAUGACUGGCAUAGUGGUGGGCGAUGACUGGUGCAGCGGUGGGCCACGAGCUUUGCUGCGGCGGCUCAGAUGGUGGAGAGCUCGGCUAUGGCCGGUGAGCAAGGGGUUUCCAUAAAUGGGUUGCUAUUCUUUUUUUUUUUUUUCUUUUUUUUGGCUUGGCUUUGUAAUUAAUUGGUGGCGAAGGGUAGGGCUGCAACUCGGGCGGGUUGGGCGGGCUGGAGACUUAAUUCUGGCUCAGCUUAUGUACAAAAUCUUUUACCCAAGCCCAGCCUGAGCCCGCCUAAAGCCUAAUCCUAGCCACCCAAGCCUAGCCCAUAAUUAACUUCUCCUGCCCAAGCCCGCCCAUGAGCCCACACCUCUAUCUUCAGAAUGUAAAAAGUAAGAAAUUUGUGCAACUACAAGGACUCAAACAGCAUUCCUCCAAGAAAAAUUCCAAACACACUACUAACAAAGUUAUUAUACACUUGUGAAAUAACAUAGUUUUAAAAUAAAUAUACCAUUUUCGGGCUCGGGCUCGGGCUCGGGCUGGGCUUCGGGCUCGGGCUGGCCUUCGGGCUUUAUAUAAUAUCAACCCAAGCCCAGCCCGAAUUUAAUUCGGGCUCAGAAUAUCUAGCCCAAGCUGCCCAAGCCCUGAAAAUUUCGGGUUGGGCUCGGAUAAAUUCGGGCUGGCCCAGCCCGAGUUACAGCCCUAGUGAGGGGUGAAGGUCUGCUAAUUGGGUUUGCAAUGGUGACGAUUUGGGUUUGGUUUUGCAGAGAGCAUAUGGGUUAACUUCUAUUUUUAUUUAUUUAUUUAUUUAUUUUUCAAUUGGGGUUGGCUUUGUGAUGUGGAGGAGCGGUGAUUGUGGAGGUUUUGGGUGGAGGAGUGGUGAUGGUUUUGGUUGAAUGUGGUGGUGGUUACCGAUUUGGAAUGGGGUGAUGGGUGGUGGUGGCCGUCAUCUUAGAUCCAUCUCUUUCUCCCUCAAUCCCCUGUUACAGACUGUAAAAGGGCAUUAUUGUCAAAAAAAUUUAGUUUCUCUGUUGUGUGAUUCUCAAGCGCUCAUUUUUAGAUGGCCGGUGGCUAGAUGGAGUGAUUGCAACAAAUUUGUAUUAUAGUUCAGGGGGGUUUUAUGCAAUUUUGAUAGUUUAGGGGUUAGUUGCAAGUUUCGCAAUAGUACGGGGUUUUUUUUUUU